GCGGGUAUGGUUUAGUGGUAAAACUAUAGCUUCCCAAGCUAUCGAUGAGGGUUCGAUUCCCUCUACCCGCUCCA
rnacentral:tRNA from 1 species